rnacentral:rRNA from 1 species
AUUGAACGCUGGCGGCAGGCUUAACACAUGCAAGUCGAGCGAGCGGCGGACGGGUGAGUAAUGUCUGGGAAACUGCCUGAUGGAUGGGGAUAACUGCUGGAAACGGUAGCUAAUACCGCAUACCAUCAGAUGUGCCCAGAUGGGAUUAGCUAGUAGGUGGGGUAAUGGCUCACCUAGGCGACGAUCCCUAGCUGGUCUGAGAGGAUGACCAGCAACACUGGAACGGAGACACGGUCCUGACUGCUACGAGAGGUAGCAGUGGGUAAUAUUGCACAAUGGGCGCAAGCCUGAUGCAGCCAUGCCGCGUGUGUGAAGAAGGCCUUCGGGUUGUAAAGCACUUUCAGCGAGGAGGCGUUACUCGCAGAAGAGGCACCGGCAAACACCGUGCCAGCAGCCGCGGUAAUUC